UCCCUGGUGGUCUAGUGGCUAGGAUUCUAGUGCUUUAACUGCCAGCGCCCAGGUUCAAUUCCCGGUUAGGAAA
rnacentral:tRNA from 1 species